rnacentral:lncRNA from 1 species
CUGAAAAUUGACGCAUGCGCAAACUUGAUCGGGUUUAUUUGUUUUUGUUGGAAAUUAUGAAACUAUUCAAUCAUUAAAACUUAGAAAUCAGUGGUGAUAAUUACAUAAUAGUUAAAAUUAGUUAAUAUUAUAUGAAAUAUGUAGUCAAAACAAUUCACAUCACUUGCAAAACUGAAAAAACACACAGAGCAUAAGAUUGAAAGCAUUUGCAUGUUACCAAAAAGUUCAAUUGGGCUUUUAUAGCGCACAAAUGUGUAAAAAACAUUACAAAUUCAGAAGUUACCUACCAAAGAUUCUGGACUAGAGUAUUUAAUCAAUGAAUCAAUCAAAGUAGGAAUCAAGUGUUUAAACUAUAACCAAUAGAUGGUUUUGCUAGAUUUUUAAACGUUAUAACAGUUGUUUAUAAUUUGUAAAUGGACAUUUGAACAAGUAUAUAUUUUAUCAUUUUAAUAUAUCAAAAGUUUUUAAUAAAAUAAAAUCUAUUUACUUAUUGCCUCAUAUAGUACUGAAAAAUUUAGUCUCAAUCAGGAUGAAUAU